UUGGGCUGUGCGUUAGGUGGGGCGGCGAAUGUAGGGACGCCUGUCCAGUGUGCGCAGGCGCAGAAGACUUGAGCGCUGUCUUUCGUCGAAAGCUCUCGGAAUGAUGUUGAUGCUGGUGAAGACAUUGAAAUGAUGUCAGAUGGUGUUCAGGGUGCACAUGGAGCUCUUCUUGACUGAAGUGGGAGGUAACUGAGUAAUUCAAGUACCUAUUUUAUGUAUCUGUACUUUAAAUAGCUUUAUUAGAGUAUACUUUUUACAUUUACUCCACUCGGAAGUGCAGCAAAUAUCUGUACAUUUACUUAACUACAUUUCUGCAUGGUGUUACCCAAGCACAAUGCUGUUGUAGUGUUUAAAGAGGGAAUUUCGCCACCUGCUGAAUAUCAUGUGUAAAUGCAUGACUUGUCUUUCCUUCAAGCGUCUACAAAAAGAUGCAAAAAGUUUUAAAAUUACUGGUUGUGGUAAUACUGUUACCAUAUAUUAAACAUUAAUGUUACCAGUAUUGCUGGUUAGUCAGCAACACGUGUUCACAAUUGGCAGAGAUUUAUUUAACUAUUAAAGGCUAGUUUUGAUUAAAUGAAUUUAAAUGCUAGUGAACUUUUGGUCCUGUAUGUAAGUAAAUUGAGGUCCUACUUUUACUUGAGUUUUCUUUGGGGAGUCUUUACUCAAGUACUUUGCCCACCUCUGGUUACCGACUUUGGACACGUCUUACUGAACAUGUGGUUUAACACUACAGAUUUUAGUUGGGUCGGGUAUAGUGGAACAAUUUCAUGGCACAACACUUUGACUCUUUGAAGAAGGCCUUUAAUGCUUGUGUAUAUAUACAUUUUUAUUGGAUCUGCAUAAAAAGACAUGGCAAGUAUGAUGUGUGCUGUUCAAUAAAGACUUCAUUUUGAAAUA